AACAAGUAUGCAUUUUCUCAUAUUUUGCAACAUUCAAUUUCAGCUAUGGUAGUAAUUAAUCUUGAGUUGAUUAGGUCACUUUUCUUCAUUAUAACCUUUACUGCAUUAUACUCUUUGUUUAUAGUAUUUAUACAGCAAUUUAUGCUUCACAUAGGUUGUGCAACCUGUGCAAUCAUCCAUCUCAGUCCACCAGUCAGCUACCCAACAAACAAUUUUGCCUCAAUUUGUUGAGCCGUUGGCACGAAGGGUGUGGCCUCUGUGCGGUGAUCCCUUGACCAUGUCGAUUCUGGUGAGCCCUUGACCAUGUUGAUUCUAUAAUAGGACUGUUAAUUUUUAUUUCGCCUCUAGCACGAUGACUAUUGGAGUGAUCUAACACACCUCUUUUUUGUGCAUGUUGACCGUGUGAGGAACACAUUGGAGGAAUUAAGAAGGAGCUCAUGAAUCUGACCGUACUGGCCAUAGUUAGGCAAGCAAUCGACCCUAUGGUGAAGUUACUAGAAAGCACAUAUGUUGGACGCUUAUUAGAUAAGUUUUCCCUUCCACUGCUCGGCAUAUGUUUGACACAAGUGUAUUGGUUGUCUUCAGUUGUCUCAUUUAUUCACUCCAUGGUACAAUGCUUCAAUUUAUUCAUUGCUAAACAUAUGGAGUAGUGGUUGCCUUGUUAUGCGUAUUGAUUGGAUUAAACUUUAUAAGAUAGUAUCUGUCAAUGAUAAAUACCUUUAUCUGUAUGAAACCAUGAGCAAUCAGAUGUUAUACAAAAUUCUUAUGGAUUAAAGUGUUAAAUGUGAAUCUAACAUAAAGUGGACACAUUACUAAAUUACUCUUUUACUGAACUUAUUUCGAAGCCAAAAUUAGAAAUUCAAUCUUCCAUCACUUGAGUAUGUGUGUCCUUAGAUGACAAAGUGAAGCUCUUCUCUGUACAACUUUCAUCAGGUAUUGCAAGCAUAUCCAUGGUUUUGGUGCCUUUAGGAAUCAAUGCAGUGUCACUUGGAUACUCUUUUUUGUCCCUAGGAAAGGGCAUUGCUAAACAUAUGGAGUAGUGGGCGCUUUGUUAUGAGCAUUGAUUGGUUUAAAAUUUAUAAGAUAGUAUCUAUGAAUGAUAAAUACCAUUAUCUGUAUGAAACCAUGAGCAAUCUCAGAUGUUAUACGAAAUUCUUAUGGAUUAAAGUAUUAAAUAUGAAUCUUGCAUAAAAUGGACAUAAUACUAAAUUACUCCUGUACCGAACUUAUUUCGAAGCCAAAAUUAGAAAUUCAAUCUUCCAUCGCAUGAUUUCAUUUAAUAAAAAUUCAAGACCAUAAUAUGUGCACACUCAUGCAAUGGCAUUCCUCCAUAUACAAUGCCUCGGUUUUCCUCCCUGCAGUCUGUGCCCACCUCAUCGAGUUUCAGCUGUCUUCUCAUGCUGCGUUGACUUUGCUCAAGCAGCGGAGGAGGAGAGGAUGAGGAAGGAGUUCGAGGUAGAGGGUAGGACUCUAGCCCAAAAGGAGAAAUCAGAGGCAAUUGACUCCAAUGUCAUUACUCCAGAGACGCAAACACGCAGUUCGUGUUUGUACUAUAUACGAAACUUUAGUACUACAUACAGUUCAGACUUAAACACACGCUUGGAUGGCAGUUUAUCAAGGUGUUUACUAGAUUUAUAAAAUUAUUCUCAAUCAUAGUUAGUUACUAACCGAUAUGUUGUGUGUAUUCUUCAAGAAAUAUUGUCUGAUUCCAAUGUCCUUGAAAAGAGAGAGCACAAAAAUUUGUCAUACAUCUGCCUGCAGCGCAAUCUUCCUCACUACACCAAAAUGCUUAACUUCCUAGGGCCUAAACCGUAGGAAGUUAGCUCAAAACUCUUAGAAGUUAUACAAACCGUCGGAAGUUAGCCGAAACCGUCGGAAGUUAGCCCGUCGGAACAAAUUGGUCGGAAGUUAGGCUAACUUCCGACGGGCUCUCGGAAGUUAAGGAAACUUCCGAGAGGGCCGUCCGCCUCUCAGAAGUUAAUGAUUAACUUCCGAGAGGGCGCUUCCCUCUCGGAAGUUAAGUGCUGACGCCGUCCAGCACGGGCUAACGCCGUCCAGGCCUGGCUUUGAUCCCAAUACACGACAUUGCUUUUAUGGCCUGGUAAGUUUACCUCAUUUUAAAAUCACUAGCGGUUUCUGUUUAAGCUAAAUCUGUGUUACACCUUACCCACUCUAUUUUCCAAGACACUGAAUUGAUUAUUAUUUCUCUAGCAACUAAUGAGGUUCACUUCUCAAAUUUAAGAGAGGUAAAACUUCUUAUUGGUCUUUGUUGGAAAGUAUAUUUAUACACAUCUAGCUAUGUCCAAGUUCUGGACCCGAAUUUUGUCCUAUUCAUGGUAAAUUAGGAGUAAUCCCAUAAUUACAUAAUUCAACUAAUUUACAUGUGUUCUCCAUGCCAGGGCAACCAGUGGUCAAGUUGCGCAUUUGGUUCGGUGGGACCUUCGCCCGUCCUGCAUGUUAUGGGACUCUCAAAAACUUGCACUUUCCAUUACUUGUACAGAGUCUAACAGAUGGCCUUACUGCUGAUACACGAUAACUGUUUAUAUCGCGGUCGGGGUUUCAAGACUAUGGAUAGCUUCAUGCUCAUUGUAUUUUUAGGUUGUCAAGCCUGUCAAUUAGAUCCAAAGCAUUGUUCCUAUCAAUCUCGAAGUAAAUAACUGGAAGCAUGGAAGACCUCCUAACUGGGAGCAAGUCUUUCCUGUUGCCACUGGCUGGGUAGUGGUUGUUGCUCUUGCUCAACCUACUUUGUUUGUUGUAACUUGACUGUGUUAAACUCUUGACUUUUGCUUAUUUCUAGGACUCCUGUACUUAACAUCCCUUAUCAUAUCCUGAUUCUCUUGGGUGAGAA